ACUCUAAUGAUCCUCGUGUCAGAUUAAAACGUGAUUGUAUUGGAACUAUGGCUGCAUAUAGACUAAAGAAUCUUUCUCAGCUUCUUCAUACUACUGUAAAUACACAUUUAUAUUGGGACCUAAAAUGGCCUGAUGAUAAAAGCUGGGCUAAAUAUCUACUGUUGCUUUAGACCAAUUCAAAACUAUUUCUGAAAAAUUUCUAACAGUGACCAGAGACUUCAACUCUACCCCAGGAGAUCAGGUGUACAAUUACCUAAUAUCCGGCAACUCUUCUUUGGAGUCUACGGUUGAAUGUCUUGAUGAGUUGCCAAUUCCUUUUAGCAGUGUUAUGCCUGCACAAGUGGGAGAACCAGCAUUCACCAACUGCACCCCUGGCUUUUCAGGUACAUUGGAUUACAUUUCCAUUUCGCCCUCCGGUUGGAUACGACCUGUUAGCUUCCUAGAACGUCCUGAUGAAGAUCUUCCUCCCAUCCUCCAUGGCUGGCGGGCUCCCAAACUAUUGGCAUCCCAGUGAUCCCCUUCCCAUUGGUGCAGAAUUUCAAGUCCAUACACAAUUUACCUGUAUUUUAU